rnacentral:tRNA from 1 species
GGGGCUAUGGAUCAGUGGUAGAGCACCUGCUUGGCAUGCAGAACGUCCUGGGUUCAAUCCUCAGUGCCUCA